rnacentral:rRNA from 1 species
AAGUAGAGUGGCAAACGGGUGAGUAACGCGUGGGUGACCUGCCUUCGAGUGGGGGAUAACGCUCCGAAAGGGACGCUAAUACCGCAUAACAUCCCGCCUUUUAAGAGGUGGAGAUCAAAGCCUGGGACCGCAAGGCCAGGCGCCUGAAGAGGGGCCCGCGUCUGAUUAGCUAGUUGGUGGGGUAAUGGCUCACCAAGGCAACGAUCAGUAUCCGGCCUGAGAGGGCGGACGGACACACUGGGACUGAGACACGGCCCAGACUCCUACGGGAGGCAGCAGUGGGGAAUUGUUCGCAAUGGGCGCAAGCCUGACGACGCAACGCCGCGUGGAGGAUGAAGACCUUCGGGUCGUAAACUCCUUUCGAUCGAGACGAACGGCCUCCGGGUGAACAGCCUGGAGGAGUGACGGUACCGAGAGAAGAAGCCCCGGCUAACUCCGUGCCAGCAGCCGCGGUAAUACGGGGGGGGCAAGCGUUGUUCGGAAUUACUGGGCGUAAAGGGCUCGUAGGUGGCCAACUAAGUCAGACGUGAAAUCCCUCGGCUUAACCGGGGAACUGCGUCUGAUACUGGAUGGCUUGAGUUUGGGAGAGGGACGCGGAAUUCCAGGUGUAGCGGUGAAAUGCGUAGAUAUCUGGAGGAACACCGGUGGCGAAGGCGGCGUCCUGGACCAACACUGACACUGAGGAGCGAAAGCCAGGGGAGCAAACGG